rnacentral:rRNA from 1 species
UCGAGAAUCUUCCGCAAUGGACGAAAGUCUGACGGAGCGACGCCGCGUGGUGGAUGAAGUCCUUAGGGACGUAAACACCUUUUAUGAGGGAGAAAGUAUAUUGAUGUUACCUCAUGAAUAAGGGGCUCCCAACUCUGUGCCAGCAGGAGCGGUAAUACAGAGGCCCCAAGCAUUAUCCGGAUUCACUGGGCGUAAAGGGUGCGUAGGCGGUUUUAUUAGUCAGGUGUUAAAUCCUCGGGCUCAACCCGAGAAUCGCAUUUGAAACGGUAAAACUAGAAGAAGUAAGAGGUGAACAGAACUCUCGGUGUAGGGGUGAAAUCCGUUGAUAUCGAGGGGAAUACCAAAUGCGAAGGCAGUUCACUGGUACUUUCUUGACGCUGAGGCACGAAAGCGUGGGUAG